CUUGAAAAAGCGAUUAAUACCCCAUAGGAAGCUUUAUCCAUGAUUUAGCUUUUAAAGCCUUCGGGCGCUGAGGGAUUGGGAUAUGCUCUAUUAGCUAGUUGGCGGGAUAAAAGCCCACCAAGGCAAUGAUAGAUAGCUGGUCUUAGAGGAUGAACAGCCACAAUGGGAUUGAGAUACGGCCCAUAUUCCUACGGGAAGCAGCAGUAGGGAAUCUUCCACAAUGGACGAAAGUCUGAUGGAGCAAUACCAUGUGAACGAUGAAGGCCUUUUUGGUUGUAAAGUUCUUUUACGAGGGAUAAUUAUGAUAGUACUUCGUGAAUAAGUGACAGCAAACUAUGUGCCAGCAGCUGCGGUAAUACAUAGGUCGCGAGCAUUAUUCGGAUUUAUUGGGCGUAAAGCAAGCGCAGGCGGAUGUGUAAGUUCUGUGUUAAAUGCAGCUACUCAAUAGUUGUAUGCACCGAAUACUACAUGUCUAGAUUGUGGUAGGGAGUUUCGGAAUUAAGCAUGGAGCGGUGGAAUGUGUAGAUAUGCUUAAGAACACCAGAGGCGAAGGCGGAAACUUAGGCCAUAAAUGACGCUUAGGCUUGAAAGUGUGGGGAGCAAAUGGGAUUAGAUACCCCAGUAGUCCACACCGUAAACGAUGGGUAUUAGAUAUUAGGGCUUUAGCUUUAGUGUUGUAGCUUACGCGUUAAAUACCCCGCCUGGGUAGUACAUAUGCAAAUAUGAAACUCAAAGGAAUUGACGGGGACCUGAACAAGUGGUGGAGCAUGUUGCUUAAUUCGAUAAUACACGAAAAACCUUACCAAGGUUUGACAUCCCUCGCAAAGCUAUAGAAAUAUAGUGGAGGUUAUCGAGGUGACAGGUGGUGCAUGGCUGUCGUCAGCUCGUGUCUUGAGAUGUUUGGUUAAGUCCCGCAACGAGCGCAACCCCACUCUUUAGUUACUUUUCUAAAGAGACUGCACAGUAAUGUAGAGGAAGGAUGGGAUCACGUCAAGUCAUCAUGCCCCUUAUGCCUUGGGCUGCAAACGUGCUACAAUGGCGAACACAAUGUGUUGCAAACCAGCGAUGGUAAGCUAAUCACCAAAUUUCGUCUCAGUUCGGAUAGGAGGCUGCAAUUCGCCUCCUUGA
rnacentral:rRNA from 1 species